UGGCUCAGAUUGAACGCUGGCGGCAUGCCUUACACAUGCAAGUCGAACGGCAGCACGGGGGCAACCCUGGUGGCGAGUGGCGAACGGGUGAGUAAUACAUCGGAACGUGUCCUGUAGUGGGGGAUAGCCCGGCGAAAGCCGGAUUAAUACCGCAUACGCUCUACGGAGGAAAGGGGGGGAUCUUAGGACCUCCCGCUACAGGGGCGGCCGAUGGCAGAUUAGCUAGUUGGUGGGGUAAAGGCCUACCAAGGCGACGAUCUGUAGCUGGUCUGAGAGGACGACCAGCCACACUGGGACUGAGACACGGCCCAGACUCCUACGGGAGGCAGCAGUGGGGAAUUUUGGACAAUGGGCGAAAGCCUGAUCCAGCAAUGCCGCGUGUGUGAAGAAGGCCUUCGGGUUGUAAAGCACUUUUGUCCGGAAAGAAAAC
rnacentral:rRNA from 1 species